GAUGAACGCUGGCGGCGUGCCUAAUACAUGCAAGUCGAGCGGACCAAAGAGAGCUUGCUCUCUGAGGUUAGCGGCGGACGGGUGAGUAACACGUGGGUAACCUGCCUGUAAGACGGGGAUAACUUCGGGAAACCGAAGCUAAUACCGGAUGAUAAAGAGAAACGCCUGUUUCUUUUUUGAAAGUCGGCCUUGUGCUGACGCUUACAGAUGGGCCCGCGGCGCAUUAGCUAGUUGGUGAGGUAACGGCUCACCAAGGCGACGAUGCGUAGCCGACCUGAGAGGGUGAUCGGCCACACUGGGACUGAGACACGGCCCAGACUCCUACGGGAGGCAGCAGUAGGGAAUCUUCGGCAAUGGACGAAAGUCUGACCGAGCAACGCCGCGUGAGCGAUGAAGGCCUUCGGGUCGUAAAGCUCUGUUGUCAGAGGGGAAGAACCGCUUCAUGGCUAAUAUUCAUGAGGUCUGACGGUACCCUCAAAGGAAGCACCGGCUAACUCCGUGCCAGCAGCCGCGGUAACAC
rnacentral:rRNA from 1 species